UCUCGAGGGAGCGCGGCCGGAUAAAAAUGGCGAUGGGGUGGAGUUGAGCUGCCUGCAGCCUCCGGACGGCAUUUGCUGAAACAUCCAAAAUGCAGUGCUUGCCCUGGGCAAGAAGACAGAAAUUAGUCGCCUCCAGCGUACCUGCUCAGCCACCUCGCGCACCGACUGGACGCUCGUCCCGUAAAGGUGGCUGUUGUACUGGCCGGCCUCGAUGAACUUGUGGCUCUGGAUGUCCUUCUCCAUCUUCUCCCGAGAGGCAACAAAAUGGUAGUCCCGGCCAUCCACUUCGUACUCCCGUUUCGGCCGAGUGGUGUCUGUGGAGUGGAAAGACCACUUGAAAAUUGCUGAGGUUCUUGGCAAACAACAUCAUGAUUUUUCUGCCUCUCGUAGCAAUUGUCAUUCCACAGAAUUCAAACUGCGACACAGUAACAACCAGAAAUAAAAGCAGCAGUCAUUCAAAA